rnacentral:rRNA from 1 species
GACAGAGGUGCCAAGCGUUAGGCGGAACCACUGGGCUUAAAGCGUGUGUAGGCGGAUCGUUAAGUACCUUGUGAAAUCCCACGGCUCAACCGUGGAACUGCUGGGUAUACUGGCGAUCUUGAGCCACCUAGGGGCGAGCGGAACAAGCGGUGGAGCGGUGAAAUGCGUAGAUAUCGCUUGGAACGCCAACGGUGAAAACAGCUCGCUGGGGGUGUGCUGACGCUGAGACACGAAAGCCAGGGGGGCGGAACGGG